UUUAGGAUUCUCUUUCACUCUUCCAUUCCAAACGGUUCCAUUUUUUUUUAAUACUAUUUACGACACCAUAACUCAGGCACUCGUCCAAUGGUGGCAACUAUCUUGCUUUUUCUUCUUCUCUCAGCAAUUUUCACUGCAGAAGCUCAACAAGGAGAAUCCAAUGUAAGCCUAGGCUCUUCUUUAACGCCUACUACCAAGUUUUCAUGGCUGUCACGUUCUGGUCUAUAUGCCUUUGGCUUCUACCAACAAUCAAAUGGCUACGCCAUAGGAGUUUUUCUUACCGGGAUUCCUGAAAAGACAGUAAUCUGGACGGCCAACCGAGACAAUCCUCCAACUCUCGCUGAUGUUACAUUGAAUUUCACUGGUGAUGGUAGACUUAUCCUGCAAUCUGCACAAGGUAAUGAGUCAACCAUUGUCGAUCCUCCUGAACGUGGAACAUCGGCAUCAAUGCUUAAUUCGGGAAACUUUGUUCUAUAUAAUUCUAAUAAGGAUAUUAUAUGGCAAAGUUUCAACACCCCAACCAAUACCAUUUUGCAGGGUCAGUGUCUCUUAGCUGAUAAAAGGUUGGUUUCAAGUGUUUCAGAAUCUGACCAAUCGACAGGAAUAUUCCAAUUGGUAAUGCAAACAGAUGGAAACCUGGUGCAAUACCCAUACAUACCUGAAUUAAAAGUUGAACAUGCUUAUUGGGCUUCUAAUACAGAUGGACAAGGCAAUAACGUGUCGCUUUGUCUUGAUGAUGAUGGCCAUCUAUACCUGCUCAAUUCCACCGGCAAAUACCUAUCAAAUCUGACUCAAGGUGGAUAUCCAACAAACGGUAUAGUUCGUCCUAUGAGAAUUGAUGCUGAUGGGAUCUUCAGGCUAUACUCACACAAUUUGGAAAAGAAUGGGAAUUGGCUUGUCAAUUGGUCAUCUUCUGAUAAUAAGUGUGACCCUAAGGGCCUGUGUGGCCUCAAUGGGUUCUGUACUACUGUUGAUCGAGAAGCCAACUGCAAAUGUCUUCCUGGAUUUGUAAGAGUUCACCAGGGCAAUUGGAAUUCAGGCUGUGAAAGGAAUUUCAAUGCAGAAAGUUGCCAAAUCAAAAACGGAAUUAUGAAAUAUAUCAUGUCAGAAGCAUCUAAUACAGUUUGGGAAGAUAGCGCUUUUUCGAUUAUGCAGCAGAUAUUGACAAAAGAGGAUUGUGAAGCAUCAUGUUUGGAGGACUGUAACUGUGAAGCAGCUUUGUACAAAGAUGGGACAUGCCGAAAGCAAAGGCUUCCAUUGAGAUUUGGAAGAAGAGUACUGGCUGAUUCAAACGUAGCAUUAAUCAAGGUUGGUAUAUCUACACCCAUCAUAUAUAACAUUGCUCCCAUGGUACGUGAAAAAAGGCCUCAAAAGGGCAUAUUGAUUAUGAGCAUCUCACUUACAGCUUUUGGACUCGUUAUGUUAGUGAUUUCUGGGAUAGCAAUAUAUAGAAAUCGUGUUUGGACUUAUAAAAGACUCUAAUAAUAGUGAAAAUGUUGGUUUGAGCGUGGAUGUUUCUCCAAGAUCAUUUACUUAUAAUGAUCUUGAAAAAAUGACUACUGGUUUCAAGGAAGAGCUGGGUAAAGGAUCAUUUGGGACUGUUUACAAGGGAAUAAUAUCAAAUGUUCAACAGGUUGUAGCUGUCAAAAGACUAGAAAAAUUGUUGACUGAAGGGGAGAGAGAGUUUCAAACUGAGGUUAAAGUAAUUGGAAGAACACACCACAAGAACCUUGUCCGUUUGCUCGGGUAUUGCCAUGAUGGAGAUAAUAGGCUUUUGGUGUAUGAGUACAUGAGCAAUGGCUCCCUUGCAGACAUACUCUUCAAACCUGAAAAACAACUUUGUUGGAAUGAAAGGAUAGAAAUAGCUUGCAAAAUAGCAAAAGGAAUUCUUUAUCUCCAUGAAGAGUGCGAGUCACAAAUCAUUCACUGUGACAUAAAACCCCAAAAUAUACUCAUGGAUGAAUAUAGGUGCCCAAAAAUCUCUGACUUUGGAUUGGCGAAGCUGCUAAAACCAGACCAAACCAAUACCAAAACAGCCAUUCGAGGAACAAAGGGGUAUUUUGCACCAGAGUGGCUUCGGAACCAACGAGUGACAACUAAAGUAGAUGUAUAUAGUUUCGGAAUUGUGCUAUUGGAGCUUAUAUGUAAUAGAAAGAGUGUUGAUUGGGAUCUUCCUGAAGAAGAGGCUAUUCUUGAGGAAUGGGCAUACUAUUGCUUUGAGGCUUGUGAGUUAAGCAAACUUGUGAUUAGUAAUGAGGUUGACCAAAGACAAUUGGAGAGAAUGGUUAUGGUGGGACUCUGGUGCAUUCUUGAUGAACAUCUCUUCGCCCUUCGAUGAAGAAGGUUCUACUAAUGUUGGAAGGAACUGUAGAUAUUCCAAUCCCUCCAAGUCCGACUUCUUUUCUUAGUACUAUAUAAAAUGUAUUUGUAUUUUUAUUUUUUUCAUAGGAAAAGUUAUUGAGGGGGAUUUGAGCUGGAUAUGUCCCUCCAUUAAGACAAGGAAGUGUUAGUAUUUAGCUAGUUUUAAGGCUACUGACAAAAUAUGUUUGUACUAGU